UUUGACCUCCUCAUCCUGAUCUGAUCGUCACCUCCGCCGCCGCUAUUACCGCUGUGGUACCUCUCUCUCUCUCUCCAUGGCCGGGAGCCGGUAGAAACCAAGACAUUCAGAGAAGUUGAAUACUUGAAAGGAGAUUAAAUCUGCUCUUCAUAGAGAGAGAGAUGCAGGUAAAGCAGAGCGGCAGAGGAGAGGGAGAAAUGUCGCUCCUUUGUAUGGACUGAUGAUAUGAGGAAGCGGUGAAGGAAGAUGAAGAGGGCGGAGGAAGAAAACAAGAAAAAGUUAUUGGGUAUAAGAAAGUAUGAUAUUAUGUGAUGUCAUCAACUAACACUUCUAACUUAACGGAGAUUAACGGAUUGGACGGGCGUAAUUCCUUUAAACCUUUGGAUCCACGUAUAAAAUGGGCCAAUAUCUAGGGUUCAAGGAUUCCGGUCGAAUCGAUUUCAAGGGAAUUUAUUUUGCACGGUUGAACCCAUUUGGUCCUCUCUACUCUAAUCGCCACUGGUUGCGUUUUAUUACUUCUGAGAUUACUGGUUGAGUUACCACUAAAAAGGAUGUCAGGGAUUCGUGGAAGGCAUGGCGACCUUUUCUUCCUUCUCUGUUCCUAAAUUCCUUCUAGGGUUACGACGCUCAAAUUCCAGAGCUAAACUCCCCGCCAUCUCGAUUUCCGGAACUGGCACCAAUAGUCCAUUCCAUACACGAUUCAGUUCUUUCAGGUAUGAGAAUGGCUUAAGAUCAGGAAUGAAGCAAAGGCUUUUUACAGUGUGUUCUUCAGACACCAAUCCAUCAGGCGAAGAUUCACUAAAAAAUAAAGCGAAAGGAAACGAAGACUCCCAAGGCCCUCCAUUCCUUACCAUUUUGGCAGGUUUUGUGGUCCUUUUGAUCAUAUUUUGGAUUGUGGGAUCAAUUGUUAUGUGGCUUAUUGGUUUAAUUGUCAAUGUGCCUAAACUAAAAUAGUGUCAACAGUACUUUUUCACUUCCAGUAUAAAAUGGCUUAGACUGAGAGAUUCCAUUGCA